CCCGCUGAACUUAAGCAUAUCAAUAAGCGGAGGAAAAGAAACUAACAAGGAUUCCCCCAGUAACUGCGAGUGAAGAGGGAAAAGCUCAAAUUUAAAAUCUGGCAGUCUUUGGCUGUCCGAGUUGUAAAUUAGAGAAGCGUUAUCCGCACUGGCCUGUGCAUAAGUCUCUUGGAAAAGGGCAUCAUAGAGGGUGACAAUCCCGUCUUUGGCACAGAUCACCAGAGCUUUUGUGAUGCGCUCUCAAUGAGUCGAGUUGUUUGGGAAUGCAGCUCUAAAUGGGUGGUAAAUUCCAUCUAAAGCUAAAUAUUGGCGAGAGACCGAUAGCGCACAAGUACCGUGAGGGAAAGAUGAAAAGAACUUUGAAAAGAGAGUUAAACAGUACGUGAAAUUGUUGAAAGGGAAACGCUUGAAGUCAGUCAUAUCCUUCAGAAAUCAACCGGAUCAAUUUGGUCUGGUGCACUUUCUGUUUGGAUGGGUCAGCAUCAAUUUUGACCAUUGGAUAAAGGCCUUGGGAAAGUGACAUCUCUGGAUGUGUUAUAGCCCUUGGUUCAGAUGCAGUGGUUGGGAUUGAGGAAUGCAGUGCUUUCAUGUGCUCAGGAUGCUGGCAUAAUGGCUUUAAUCGACCCGUCUUGAAACACGG
rnacentral:rRNA from 1 species